UCCUCCGCUGCACCAGAUUUCAUCUCGGUGGCUUGCAAAUCUGCCUUGGCGAUUUGUUUUGGUUGUUGUCAUAAAAGUCACAAGGUUCCAGCAACCUUUUUGGUUGUGAGAAAGAGGAUUCGGAUUCGGGAUGCGCACUUCGACAUAGAGGUUGAUUAGCUUGAUCUACAUUGGAGGCGGGUACCUUGACUUAUCUUUUAGAUAAUGUCAUGUUAUAUGCUUAGUAGAUUUUAACAAGUAGUAAUAAUUAUGUUUAUAUCUGCAUCGGUAUGUCACUAUUUGUUUUUGAGCAUGUUUUGUUUGUUACCUGUUUAGCAUUCAUGCCCCUGUUUAUUAUUUAUGUUAUAGAGGUAGUGACAUACUAUGCCAUGUGAUAUACCGGACUAGUCAUUUACCAUAUCUGACCUGUGUACCUAGAUCUGUUUAUUUGAUCCAUUUAUUUUUUGUACA